AAAACAUCUGUUGAAAAAUGUAUUGAGCGUUUGCACACUUUAAGAUCAGUGGAAAGUGUUCUGUUUUAUAGCAAAUGAUUAACUUCAGUUAAUAGUGUACGCCCACAUGCUUAGCUAGGAGCUUAGCUCUUUUGGGUUUCAAGAAAAUGGAGACAGCCGGCAAAGUAAGUAAUUAUAUUUUAUUAUAAAUACAAAUUCCAUUUUAGGUGUAAUAUGCUUUGGUUCACAAAAUGUUUUUACUAGUUUGUAUUUGCACAGUUUAGCAUUGUCUUGCUAUUUAUUUCUAAAAUAUUUUGCCAGCAAGGAUACAUUGAGAUUUCUCUUGUUUUCAAUUAAGUCCUGGGCCCAUAAGCAUUGCAUUGUUAUUUUAGAACACGUGCUUAUUCUGGCAAGACAGAGCAAGACAAAGAGCUUCAGAAACUGUAAUACAAUAUCUAUGUUAUGCACGUUACUUCUCCCCUCACCCACCCCCAGUACCAUAGUCUCUCUGCAGCCAGAUUGGUAAUGGGAAAAUUACAGUUAGUCACUAUCAAGGGUAAAUCUGUCCAGUUUUACACUGCAAUAAUAGAUCUGAGGGUGGACAGUUUUUCCUUUGUUCCUAUAACUAUUUUCAUAUUACUUUUAAUGCAUUUGCACACAAAAAACAUAUUCGCUGUAAAUUUCAUCAUAGCAGCCUAUGGUGUAAAGAAAUACACAGAAAUUACGUCAUUGUAGCAAGAGAGGGAGGGCACACUCAUGUUGCAGCUACAGCACAUAGAGAUAUGUGGCAAAUUGAUUUUAAAAUCACUGGGGCAGCAUAAUAUCACUACUGCUGCAGUUAUCUAUAUCUUUCUUGUUUAUGAUUGGGAAGCAAAAUCCAAAAAGGUUAUGGUGGGGAAAAAUUGUGAUUGAAAACCCCUUCCACCUGAAGUCUGUGGAUAGUUAAUACAAUGUUAAACAAAAAUCUGCACACCAGUGAAGCCAUAAGACUUGCUUUUCCCACAGAAAUCACAAAUCUGCAGUGAUGUUACUACUGCAAAGGAUUAGGGCAUAUGCAGAUUAGCUUAACAAAAAAUCAAAUUUUUGCCUCAUUUCAUUUUAUGAUUAGAUUAGCGGAUUAGAUGAUUGUUUAUGAUUAGAAUAUAUCAUGUACACUUUAUAUCAAGAUCAUAAUUCUCUCAUCUUGUGCCCCAUUCCCUUUAGAGAGAAACCCUUGUCCAUUGUGAGUUCAUGGGAUAGAACUUUUUUUUCCACCUGCAGUUCCAAUGAUCUGAUCCAUUAACCCCUUAAGGACACAGCUUCAGAAGCUUGUCUUACGCUUAAUGACACAAGCAAUUUUUGCAUUUUCUUGCUGUAUGCGUUCAACUGCAAUUUGCAUCUCUCUCGUUUAUUGCACCGACACAUAUUAUAUACUGUUUUUUAAAGGACAUAAAGGGCUUUAAUUUGAUGUAACAUAUAUAUAUAUAAAUGCUUAUUUAUUAUUUAAAAAAUACAGAAAAAUGCAAAAAAAAGAAAAUUUUGUGUUUUUUGUACAGUUUUUGCAAUAAUAAUGUGUGCCUAAUUAGUGCAGGUUAAAGAAAGUAAUUAAAAAUAAAUUUAUUUAGUUGUUCUGAUUUACAAAAUAUAUAAUGUGUCUGGGAUUUAAAGUUUUUUUUGGUAGUUACAGGUCAUAAAGCACAAGGAGUAAAAUAAACUUUUAAUGUAGAGCGAUUUUAGAAUUUUGUAUGUUUGUCUUGUAAGCUUAAUAGCCAUAAAAGAAAACAAAAUUGCCACACAAAAGUAUAUAUUUAUAUAAAGUAGACAUCACAGGCUAUUGUCCUAAGGUUUUUUUGACACUUUCUAAGUAGCCAUUUCACCGCCAAUCUCUGCUAAAUAUUGGAGUAAAAUUUAGUUUUUUGGAGUUUUUGGCACACAAACUUAUAACAAAGAACUUCCCAUGUAUAUUUUGUAAAGUUGGUGUGUGCUAUUCCUGUACAAAGUUUUAUUUUGUGUUCAGUUACUUCUGCUGAGUACAACGAUACCCCCAUUGUAUGUCUUUGGCACUAUUUCGUGAAGCUACAGUGCCAUAUAGGAGACCUGUCCGUUUCAACAUUUACAGUAGAAUUUUGAGAGGCGGAUUUAAUGGGCCUAUGCUUCAAUUUGGGGUAUUAUAGCAGUUUGACUGUUCAAAAAAAACCCACAAAGGCCUACCAUUUAUAAAAGUAGACACUCCAGGGUAUCUCAUAUGGUGCAUAUUGUGCCUUAACAUGCCCCCAUUUUUUCACCAAUAUAUGCCAAAGUAUGUGGUAAAAAAUAAUUUUGGGCAUUUUUUACAUACGGAUUACAUUUUUGCUGGGCAUUUUGUACAUUUCAUAUGUGCCACUAAGUUCAAACCCCCAAAUUAUGCUCAGCUAAGUCUUCUGAGUAAAACAAUAUGCCCAAUGUAUGACCUAGACACUAUUUUGUGAAGUUACACUGCUAUAAAAGAGACGUAACAAGUUAAGGUUUUUAAGUGUGAAUUUUCAUGGAGGGUUUUGAUGCGUCCGUGCCCACUUUGGAGCACUUGAGCAGGCUACAUAUUACAACUACAACAUAAAGGCAUACCAUUUCUUAAAGAACACAUCCCAGGGUAUUUCAAAAGGCAUAUUUUGAACCUUAGCGUGGGAUAAUUUUUCCGCUAGCUUGUACCAAGUGUAAUGGUAAUAAGCGUUUUUUUGCCUUUUUGACACACAAAGUAAAUUUGCGCAGUACAUUUUGCAAAUCUUAUGUGUGCUACGACUGUAUAAUACUUCAUAUGUUGCUCAGCUAUGUCGGCUGAGUACAUCAAUACCCCCGUAUGUACCUUUGCCAGGUAUAUGUGGACAUCGGAGGGGCACAUUUGGGACACAGCCAUUCCAGUUCAUUUCAAACUUUAAAUUUUUACACUGUUCCCAUGUCCCAUUUUAGAGUAUUUUACCAGGCUAUAUAAUCCAAAUACCCCAUAAAGCCAUACCAUUUCUUAAAGAAGACAUCCCGGGGUAAUUCAAAAGGCAUAUUUUGAACCUUAGCGUGGGAUAAUUUUUCCGCUAGCUUGUACCAAGUGUAGUGGUAAUAAGCAUUUUUUCUGCCUUUUUGACACACAAAGUGAGUUUGCGCAGUAUAUUUUGCAAACCUUAUGUGUACUACGACUGUAUACUACUUCAUAUGUUGCUCAGCUAUGUCGGCUGAGUACAUCAAUACCCCCGUAUGUACCUUUGCCAGGUUUAUGUGGACAUUGAAGGGGCACAUUUGAGACACAGCCAUUCCAUUUUUUUCAAACUUUGAAUUUUUACGCUGUGUCCAUGUCCCAUUUUAGAGUAUUUUAAAAGGCUAUAUAAUCCAAUUACACCAUAAAGGCAUACCAUUUCUUAAAGAAGACAUCCCGGGGUAAUUCAAAAGGCCUAUUUUGAACCUUAGCGUGGGAUAAUUUUUCCGCUAGCUUGUACCAAGUGUAGUGGUAAUAAGCAUUUUUUCUGCCUUUUUGACACACAAAGUGAGUUUGCGCAGUAUAUUUUGCAAACCUUAUGUGUACUACGACUGUAUACUACUUCAUAUGUUGCUCAGCUAUGUCGGCUGAGUACAUCAAUACCCCCGUAUGUACCUUUGCCAGGUUUAUGUGGACAUUGAAGGGGCACAUUUGAGACACAGCCAUUCCAUUUUUUUUAAACUUUGAAUUUUUGCGCUGUGUCCAUGUCCCAUUUUAGAGUAUUUUAAAAGGCUAUAUAAUCCAAUUACACCAUAAAGGCAUACCAUUUCUUAAAGAAGACAUCCCGGGGUAAUUCAAAAGGCCUAUUUUGAACCUUAGCGUGGGAUAAUUUUUCCGCUAGCUUGUACCAAGUGUAGUGGUAAUAAGCAUUUUUUCUGCCUUUUUGACACACAAAGUGAGUUUGCGCAGUAUAUUUUGCAAACCUUAUGUGUACUACGACUGUAUAAUACUUCAUAUGUUGUUCAGCCAUGUCGCUGAGUACAGCAAUACCCCCGUAUGUACCUUUGCCAGGUAUAUGUGGACAUUGAAGGGGCACAUUUGAGACACAGCCAUUCCAGUUUUUUCCAAACUUUGAAUUUUUACGCUGUGUCCAUGUCCCAUUUUAGAGUAUUUUACAAGGCUAUAUCAUCCAAUUACACCAUAAAGGCAUAUCUUUUCUUAAAGAAGACAUCCCAGGGUAAUUCAAAAGGCAUAUUUUGAACCUUAGCGUGGGAUAAUAUUUCCGCUAGCUUGUACCAAGUGUAGUGGUAAUGAGCAUUUUUAAAUGUAUUUUUUUACUUUGUAAAACUUUUUUUACUUUGUAAAACUUUUUUUACUUUGUAAAACCCAUUUUUAAACUUUUUUUUUUACUUAUUAAAUGUUUUACACUAUCUUAACUUUUUUUACACUUUUAUUUUUUUUUCUAAACUUUUCUUUUACCGUUAACCCCUAACUAGCAGUAAGCAGCACUAACCGUAAAUUCCCCAUUUUCCCAUAACUCCCACCCACCCCAGCUAGCAAAAUAUUUAAUUAUAAAAUAUUUAAAUUAAUUAAUUAAAUAAAUGGAACCCCUGAGGGUUAAAAAAAAAUAAAUAAAAGUUAAUCCUCAGGGGUUAAAAAAAUUAGAUCACAGUAUAAUACUGUGAUCUGUAUUUUAAUCACUGUAGGCAGUGAUCAGCUGGCAGGGAAGGGGUUAAUUUUUAUUUAGACUGGGUAAAGGGGGUGGUAUUUUUUUUUNNNNNNNNNNNNNNNNNNNNNNNNNNNNNNNNNNNNNNNNNNNNNNNNNNNNNNNNNNNNNNNNNNNNNNNNNNNNNNNNNNNNNNNNNNNNNNNNNNNNCACACACAUUGCCCCACACACUGCCCCCCAUACACACACUCUGCCCCCCCGUACAAAUACACUCUACACACAUACACUAUCCUCAUACACACACACUGUAUGGACUCAGCAGUCUGUGUGUGUGUAUGGACUCAGCAGUCUGUGUGUGUGUAUGGACUCAACAGUCUGUGUGUAUGGACUCAGCAGUCUGUGUGUAUGGACUCAGCAGUCUGUGUGUGUGUAUGUGUGUGUGUGUAUGGACUCAACAGUCUGUGUGUAUGGACUCAACAGUCUGUGUGUAUGGACUCAGCAGUCUGUGUGUGUGUGUAUGGACUCAGCAGAGUGUGUGUUUGUGUAUGGACUCAGCAGUCUGUGUGUUUGUGUAGACUCAGCAGUCUGUGUGUGUGUAUGGACUCAGCAGAGUCUGUGUGUGUAUGGACUCAGCAGUAUGUGUGUGUGUAUGGACUCAGCAGUGUCUGUGUGUGUAUGGACUCAGCAGAGUCUGUGUGUGUAUGGUCUCAGCAGUCUGUGUGUAUGGACUCAGCAGUCUGUGUGUGUGUGUAUGGACUCAGCAAUCUGUGUGUGUGUGUGUGUGUAUGUGUAUGUGUGUGGACUCAGCAGUCUGUGUGUGUGUAUGGACUCAGCAGUCUAUCAAUAAUUAAAAUUCCUGUGAGUUGUUGUGUAGGAAGGGCCCCAGUGCAUUGCUUUGCCCAGGGGCCCUUAACUCUGUUAAAAUGGUACUGCUUGUGUGUGUCAGUGAGCUUCUAUUUAGUGAGCAUGUGUGUGUCAGUGAGCUUGUCUUUAGUGAGCUUGUGUGUGUGUCCCUGAACUUCUUUGUAGUGAGCCUUCUGUUUAUACAAGUGAGUGUCUGUAGUAAGCUUGUGUGUGAGUCAGAGAGUUUUGUCUGUCAGUAAGCCUAUUUGCGCAUGUCAGUGAGCUUGUGUGCUCACUGUACUAUAUAUAUAUAUAUAUAUAUAUAUAUAUAUAUAUAUAUAUAUAUAUAUAUAUAUAUAUAUAUAUAUAUAUAUAUAUAUAUAUAUAUAUAUGACUUGUGGGAAUGGCAUACGUUUUUUUUCCAGGGCUGCUUUGGAUUCCCAGGGAUUCCCAGUUUGGCUCUGCCAGCGAGUGCACUUUACCGCUGAAUAAUCUGUGUGAGCUGCCGCACACUUUAGCCCUGUUACACGCGUCUGGG
rnacentral:lncRNA from 1 species